GGGGGCGCCAAAAAAUGGCGUGUUACAGAUACACUGCCCGUUUUUAAACAGUUACUUCAAGAUAUCUAGUCAGGAUAGAGUCUGGCUUUAACAUCUUCAUUAUAGUGAUGUUUUUAUUUUAAAAACUCGAUUCUUUGACAGUAAAGUAUAUCUACUUCAGUUUACUGGAUAUCGACGAGCGGUACCUGUUGAAAAAGGUUUGAAAAGCACUGAUCUAGAUCUAGAUCUACUGGGUAAUAGUUGAAAGCAAUCGUAUAUUUACUAAAUUCUUUAUCACUUAGCCGAAAUUCGUAUCUAUAGUUUUGUAUAUAAAUAACAAAAUGGCGAGUGUUUUGCUUUCACACUCACAGCAUUCGCAGGUUGAAACUUUAAAGAGGCGUAAGAAACAAAAUAAAAUUCUAAAAAAAUAAAUAAACUAAAAAUUCUUUUGUCUGUUCGCGAACAUUUAUCUUUAUCGGAUGAAGCAACACGGAUAUAUAUAUAUAUAUGGAGAGAGAGCAUAAAGGAAGGGUCACGGAUUGCAGAUGUCAUACACAACAGAAGCAGAAAGAAGGGUAAAAAUGCAACGGCGCCUGGUGAUUAUAUAUACCCAACCUGCGAUCGCAGCAGUGUAUCAAGGAUUGGCCUCUUUAGUCACACAAGAAGUUGCAAAGGAUUUGAUUUGGUGAUCCCUCUUCAGAAACAUCAGAUCAAAGGAAUGUACAUGCUGCUGAUAUAGAAAAAGUUUCUGACUGCUUACAGAUCAGUGUUCUUAGUUCUGCUAUUGAUUUACUAUUGCAUAAUAAAUAAACAUGUAAUGAUCAAUCACAUUUUUAUACCAAGUUCAUCUAAUGAUUUACACAGCAUAUUAUCAGCAUUCACAGUUCAUCUAAUGAUCUACAUAUGAAGCAGCACCAUGCAGAGCUAACAUCACCUACUGAAGAGAGUUUCCAUCAUGCUUUAGCAACAAUCCAAAAACAAAAUGAAAAAGUGGUUUCUUUGUUUGGGACAAGUCCUGAAAGGCCUUCAGAAUCUGGGAGCACACUAUUGUUAACAAGCAGUGUGUCAUAUGACCAGCACAAUGACCAACAGCCUUUACUUUUCGAACCAAAGUCAGGACACUGUUCAAAGAUAUUUUAAGAUGUUGGCCUCACAUCUUGACACUUGUUAGAGUGUAAAGAUUUGACUUAACAAAUGUUAAAAUAAAAAGAGCACAUUGUGGAGAGUUGACCGUCAUUAAAAAAUGAUUGUCAGACUUCUGCUAGAUGUUGAUCUUUUCAUCACAACACCAAUAACUUCUUCUUGGAGUCAAGUAACAGUGUAUAUCACCUGAAAAAGCUAUUUAAAUUCCCUUAAAGAUCACAAAUUAAUGCUGAUGACAUAAAGCACAUUUAUCCACGAAAUCUUAUGAACACAUAAUAUUAUGUUGUACAACUAAAUAGUGGUGUCUGGAAAUUUAGGCAGUGUGUAUGUAGUGUAUAUGCUUAUUUAUUAUUUAUCUGUUUCUUAAACAUAGGCUUAUGUUCCCCGCGCUACCCAAACUAUAAUUCGGAGUGUGAAACAUAGCAGAUUAACAGGUGCUAUAUUAUGUUUCGUUUAACAAAGAUUUUCUUACACUCUACAUAUUCCUCCCCCCCCCCCCGAGAGGUGGGCCAGGGGUAGUGGUAAGUAUUAUAAUCACGGACUGAGAAGACCUAACGGCGAGCGAGAAAGGGGUUACGUCGUCACUAGAUCUGUGUCAGCUCAAUACAAUUUUUUCUCUUCGUGGUGUAGUCUUAAUCAUAAACAGAUAAAAAUUAAAGUUUUAAGAUACUGUUAAUCUUCUAUAAUAAAAUGCUUAUUUCUUAUAGUAAUACGUUUCCCGUACUAGAUCUUUAUAAUUUAUUGUCAUUGCUCUAUAUAGUAUAGAUCACUUACUCACAAUCUAUACUUUUGUUGAAAAGAAAAAUAAUUAAACAUAUCGUGUAGAUAUAGAUGCGUGUUUCAUUAUGUUCGUGUAUAUUUUUGUUUUAUUUUAUCAAUAUUUCGCUUUGCUUGGUGACUUAAUAGAUAAAAUAUAAAUCUAAUUGUUAAUAUAUAUUUUGUUGUUGAUAAUUUCUUAAAUAGAAAAAAAGAAGAAAUAACAAGUUGUUCAUCAAAUGAUUAUUAACAUUUUAUUUAGACCUUCAUUUGAGUAAAUAAAAAAAACAUAGUUGAACGCAUAAGAACAAAACACUCUCUUUAAAACAUGUUAUUUGAAGUUCAAUAUAGAUAAAGGAGAUCAAUAUGCUUAAAAACAACAUGGUGGGCGGAAUAGAUCUAGUUAUCUGGGCGUCUGAACUUCUAAAUCUUGUAUAUCUAGUUCUAGAUCUAGAGCAGGGCUGCGCAAAUAACGACCCCCCUGGCCACAAGUGGCCCGCUGGAGUGUUUUAUGUUCUAAUAUUACUGUAAGAACUGGUCGAUGCUGACUGACAGUAAUUUAACAGCAGUCGCAAGGAUUACAACUAGUAAUAUAUCUAAAACAUUUUUAAUCUUUUAAUUUUCACAAUGAAAUCAUUUUCUUUUUACUCCAGCGCAAGAACACCAUCCAAUCCAAUCACUCGUUCAGCCUUUUUUUUUUUUUUAUACAUUUGCGUCAUUCGCGAUUUCACUAGUUGGUCACGUGACAGGGCCCAGCUCUUGUCCCUAUCGGUUAUACAAAUGGGUCAAAUGAAAUUUUCUUUAAUUGUGAUUAAUUUAAUUUAGCCAUAGAAAGAAAUAAUGAUGUAGCGCUGUCUUUAAUCUAGAAUAAAUAAUCAAUGUAAUGUAGGUCGAUUGUAUUUAAUAUUUAAUAGAUCUAUA